UAAUACGGGGGGAGCAAGCGUUGUUCGGAUUUACUGGGCGUAAAGGGCGGGUAGGCGGCCACUGUAAGUCGAUUGUGAAAUCUCCGGGCUUAACCCGGAAAGGUCAGUCGAUACUGCAGGGCUAGAGUGCGGAAGGGGCAACUGGAAUUCUCGGUGUAGCGGUGAAAUGCGUAGAUAUCGAGAGGAACACCUGCGGCGAAGGCGGGUUGCUGGGCCGACACUGACACUGGACUGCGAAAGCUAGGGGAGCGAACGGGAUUAGAUACCCCGGUAGUCCUAGCCUUAAACGAUGAAUGCUUGGUGUCUGGGGUUUUAUAGUCCCCGGGUGCCGUCGCUAACGCUUUAAGCAUUCCGCCUGGGGAGUACGGUCGCAAGACU
rnacentral:rRNA from 1 species